UUCACACAAACUAGUUUUAAAGCUAAUACAUUUCUUUAACGUAUUAAUGCAAAUUGGGACUUUUAGGUUGUCGCAAGGCUCAGUUUUAAAGCUAGAGUGGAGAUACUGGCAUCGUAUGAAACUAGAAAACCUAAGGAAUCCAUUGGUACCAACCAUUUCAUACUAGCUUGUCAC